UAAAAAUGGCUCAGCAAAAAUGUAAGUACUCCCUAGCCCCAAUAUAAAACAAGCAUUAACUGAGAUUUGAUCCCAUUAUGUGUAAAGCUGUGUGCUGAGAACAGAAAAACCACAGGAAAUAAAAUACAGCAAUGUCUCCUGCACUCCAGAAGCCUGCAUAUUUGUUUUGAGAAGUUGCACAACCAAGUGUCCACAAAGGAGAACGAAGGAAGUACAAGAGUCCAAGCAACAUGCUGUUGGGAGGAAGUGAGGAGUAGAAGGGGCUGGAAGAUUUGAGGGUUUGGUCUGAUGGGAGACAGCCUAAGUCCUCUCCAGAGUGAUAUUCCAGAAGCCCUAGCAGAUUUUUGCUAGGAUGGCAAAGGAGACUUAGGGUCAAAGAUGAAGCUUUGUUCCACACAUUUUCAACAUGAACUGGAAAUAAUGGAAAAUCAAGAUAUACACCUGAGCUUUCCCAAGCAGUAGAGAACUAUACAGAGGGAAAUGAGGACAAAGAAGAAACCCAGACAUCAGGAAAAGAAAUUGCAAGUGGAAAAGGAACAGAAGUGGAAGAUACAGAGAGCAGGAAGAACAUUCUUACCUGUAUUCCAAAAAAUCCACAUAAUUAGCUAACAAGUUUGAUUGUACAGUUUCAAAUUUUGACUUGUAAAUGAGAUUACUACCUCAAAUUGGUGACUUUUACAAGUGUGUUCUUCUUUAAGAAAUCUGAAUUUACAUAAAAGAUUCAUUUGGGGAUGAUUGGGAUUGUUUUUAUGAUUUUUUUAAAAAGUUUUAGGAAAGU